rnacentral:lncRNA from 1 species
AUUCUUACUUCAGACACUAGUCCCACUUCUUUGGUUAUCUGUAUUCUGAGUCCACAAAUCAGAGGCAUCCAGUUGAAAAAGCUGAAAGCUUCUAGAAUGGCACUAUCCAAUAUGGUAGCCAGUGGCCCCCUGUGGCUACUGUGCACUUAAAAUGUGGCCAGUCCUAACUGCAACGUGCUGGCUAGGGGUAAGAAUGCAGCAGUGAACAUGGUUCCUGCACUCAUGAAGCAAAUGUAUCCACUGUGGUACAAAAGAGACUGUAAAAAACAAACCCAAAUGGACAACAGAGUUCUGAACCAUCCUGUGACAAGUCUAGUUACCCUAAAGCUGUCAUGCAGGAGAGACCAUGUGGAGAGAAGGAGAGUUAGAGAGAGGAGGAGCCCCUGCUGUUUGAGUAUUCUCAGCCCAGACACCAGACAUGAGUGAGGAAGCAUUCAGACCCCAACUCCAGUUUAAAAACGCCACCACUCAACAGCCUGUUUUCUGAGCCUAUGACCACAUAUAUGCUGCAGAACCCUUUCAGGGUGUAUCUGAAACUACUUCUCUUAAAGGCAAGCUGUAACUGGUGCCAGAAAAGACAGAAGCUGAUUGAGGUCCCAGCUUGGUAACAGUUUGAAGAGUUGCAGGACUGGCUGGAUGAGUACUGGCUGCAGCAAAUCAGGCUGCCAGGAUUCUUUAUGGCUGUUUCUGCUUCCACUACAGCUGAGUCAGAAAGGUCGCUGCCCCGUGGUGGCACUAGACGCAG